UCCUACGGGGGGCAGCAGUAGGGAAUUUUCGUCAAUGGGGGGAACCCUGAACGAGCAAUGCCGCGUGAGUGAAGAAGGCCUUCGGGUCGUAAAGCUCUGUUGUAAGAGAAAAACGGUAAUGAUAGGGAAUGAUCAUUAAGUGAUGGUAUCUUACGAGGAAGCCACGGCUAACUACGUGCCAGCAGCCGCGGUAAUACGUAGGUGGCAAGCGUUAUCCGGAUUUAUUGGGUUUAAAGGGUGCGCAGGCGGCACGGCAAGCCGGCGGUCAAAUCGCGGGGCUCAACCCCGCCCAGCCGUCGGAACUG
rnacentral:rRNA from 1 species